rnacentral:lncRNA from 1 species
GGUAGGACACAACGCCAAUCGCCACCGCCAUCACUACCCACAAAAUCAACAUUGCCUUGAAAAAGGCAGUCGCCACACCCAAAUAUCAAAAUCAGAAAUCAAAUCAAAUUCAAUAGAAAAUUGGAAGAAACUGGAACGUCAUUUGCAUGUUGAAUUAGGUAAAUUUGAAGCCAAAACUAGAGCAAUUUGUGAUUCAAAUUGAAUUCAAUUGAUGGUAUACCCGUAAUUGUUUGAUGUUGCUGACGGGUUAUGUUUUGCAAAUUUUGUGAAAAAUCAUUCCAAAACCGUCAUUCCAAAUCAUUUUGCUUUCGGAGUAGACUGUAGACCUAUAUCAAUGCGAAGAGCUUUGGAUGAUGUCUCACCAUGAAUUUGAGCACCUAGGUAAGGUGAACCGGCUGACAACCGUGCAUGACUGUGAGUGUCACCAGAAUUGUCGAACUUUGUUGUUGGAUCGAGCGCCUCCCGUGGCUUUAAGGGCUAAUUUUUAUCUCCAUAUAAUGUUGUUUGUCCAAUUAAUUGUGUGAGAUAUGUUUGUGAAAUGAGG